rnacentral:rRNA from 1 species
AGCGAACGCUGGCGGCGUGCUUAACACAUGCAAGUCGAGUGCGUAGCCCUUUGUAGCAAUACAGAGGGUGGGCGCACGGCGCACGGGUGAGUAACACGUGGGUAACCUGCCCUUCGGUGGGGAAUAACCCCGCGAAAGCGGGGCUAAUUCCGCAUAACAUUCCGGGGACACAUGUUCUCGGACUCAAAGGAGUGAUUCGCCGGAGGAGGGGCCCGCGCCCGAUUAGCUU